AUGAACGCUGGCGGCAUGCCUAAGACAUGCAGGUCGAACGAGGUGGCCCUUGAAGGAUGCGUGCUUAGCACAAAGUCCGGAAAAGGAUUUCCACCGUAGUGGCAGACGGGUGAGUAACACGUGGGUGACCUACCUUAAUGGGGAUAACAGUUGGAAACGAUUGCUAAUACCGAAUGAGAUAUAACUGUCGUGGUUAUAUUGAAAGGAGCCUUUAAAGCUUCGCUUAGAAAUGGGCCUGCGGUGUAUUAACUAGUUGGUGAGGUAAUGGCUCACCAGGUAACGAUGCAUAGCCGGACUGAGAGGUUGAACGGCCACACUGGGACUGAGACACGGCCCAGACUCCUACGGGAGACAGCAGUUAGGAAUAUUCGUCAAUGGGGGAAACCCUGAACGAGCAAUGCCGCGUGAAGUGAUGAAGGUCUUUGGAUUGUAAAACUCUGUUGUAUGGAAAAAACGACUAGGUUAGGAAAUGAACUUAGUGUGAUGGUACCAUACCAGAAAGCCCCGGCUAACUACGUGCCAGCCGCAGC
rnacentral:rRNA from 1 species